UGGGACUAAAAAAUGUUAUGUUGUUGGUUUAAGCCC
rnacentral:rRNA from 6 species